ensembl:lncRNA novel transcript
UCCCGCCAUCCUGAGGAAGUGAGAGCCCCACUCACCACUCCAGACGCCCUUCCCCAUGACUUCACUUGACAUGCAGAGGAAAUGACGGCUGGGCACAGUGGCUCACGCCUGUAAUACCAGCACUUUUGGAGGCCAGAGCAGGAGGAUCACUUGAGGCCGGGAGUUUGAGACCAGCCUGGGCGACAUAGCAAGAUCCUGUCUCAAAAAAAAAUAAAAAUUUGUUUUAAAAGAACUUUUAAAAAGAAGACAAAAUGACUUAAAAUGGAUAACAAAAGCGACCUGAAUCCGUGGGACCAAGACCAUAAAUAUCAGGGAGAGCUGCAAGGGGCUGUGUGCAACUGCUUGCACCACAAGAAGCGGGAGAGACCGUCUAGACUUGCAGUGGCAGGAGAAAUUCUGGCAAAGUUCUUGAAUGUGAGCCGACCCACAGAUACUGACGGCCAGCACGAUCCAAAAUCUAACUCUAUGAGGAGAGAGGGGAACCAGGAAGCCUAGAACCAGAAGCUGAAGACUAAAGCUCCCAGCGCCUACUGAACCACCCCAUCCCAAAUCUCCUUGUCAAGAUGGCAACUUUAUUCAGAAGGGGGCUUCCAAGGUUAAACAGAGCUAUUGAAGAAGAAAUCAUCCCUCACGCCUCCACCACAGGCCCAAAGAAGAACUAUAAGAGGAUCCUUUGGAAAAUGAGAUUGAAUUUUGCUCUUGUGGCUACAAGGAAUAGAACCAGCAUCAAGGUUUAAGUUCCUAUGAAAGCAGAACCUGAAAGGAAGACUUGAGUUAAUUUAAGAGGUGAUCACGGUGAACAGAAGUGAUGGAAUCAGAAGAAUAAAACAGAAAAUCCAAUAAAGUUGGAUUAUGAGCUGGCUACCACUGAGAUUCACUGGGGUUCAGUCCUGCUGAGGAUUCUUUGAGUAAAUUAAUAGAAAAUGCCUUAUAUUGUCUCACCAAAGGACAAUUGAGUUGAUACACUUAUCUACUUCUUCUCAUCCCUCAUUAGUUGAGGGCUGCUGCCAGCUGUGUCAACACCUUCAAAAGUCUGAACUAUUUGUGCAUAAGCUAAAUGGGCUUUUGCAGUGUUGGGAAAAGCCCAGAGUCAGAAGAACAGAAAGACACUGUGGUCUGCAGUUGAGAAGGGAUGCCGGCAUUGCCCAUGAAAUGUACAUGAAAUGUUGGCAUUGAACUGUGGCUGCACAAAAUCAGGUGGGUCAAGCGAAUUAACACAAUGCAUUACCAGCAUCAUCUUCAAAUUUAUAGUGAAAUUUCUCAUUUGAUCUUUCAUAUCUCUUGGCUUCAUUUCUAUAUUUUUCAUUGCUUUUUAGCUCUGAGCCUCAUAUGUGGCAGUUUCCUCAGAUCUCUAUUCUCAUUUGUUGAUUUUCUAUUUAGCCGUGUGUAAAUAGCUCAUCUUUCUCAUAAUAGCAUUUUCUUAUAGUUUCAGCUCUCAUAUGUUUAUUUGCUUGCUUUCACAUUGUACCAUUAUCUCAGUAUCUUUGGCAGUAAUCCUGCUAUUCAUUGUGCCUACUGGCUAUCAUGGCAGGAUAUUUUUCUAUGUGUUUUGUGAUGUAUUUUCAGUGUGGAUUUAUUGAACUUUAAUUUACUGAACUUUAAUUUAUUGAACUUUAAUUUAUUAAUUUAUUGAACUCUAAUUUACUGAACUUAUUUUCAGUGAGGAUUUACCACCGCACUCCUUGCCAU